rnacentral:rRNA from 1 species
AUGUCCGGCGGUCCCGCGGCGGUCUCGUUCCUCACCAACAUCGCCAAGGCGGCGGCGGGCCUCGGCGCCGCGGCCUCCCUCCUCUCGGCGUCGCUCUACACCGUGGACGGCGGCGAGCGCGCCGUCGUCUUCGACCGGUUCCGCGGGGUGCUGCCGGAGACCGUCGGCGAGGGCACCCACUUCAUCGUGCCGUGGCUCCAGAAGCCCUACAUCUUCGACAUCCGCACGCGCCCGCACAACUUCUCCUCCAACUCCGGCACCAAGGACCUGCAGAUGGUAAACCUCACCCUCCGCCUCCUCUCCCGCCCCGAUGUCGUCAACCUGCCCACCAUCUUCACCUCCCUCGGCCUCGAGUACGACGACAAGGUGCUCCCCUCCAUCGGGAACGAGGUGCUCAAGGCCGUCGUCGCCCAGUUCAACGCCGACCAGCUCCUCACCGACCGUCCCCACGUCUCGGCGCUCGUCCGCGACUCCCUCAUCAAAAGGGCCCGCGAGUUCAACAUCAUACUCGACGACGUCGCCAUCACCCACCUCUCCUACGGCGCCGAUUUCUCCCAGGCCGUCGAGAAGAAGCAGGUCGCGCAGCAGGAGGCUGAGCGCUCCAAGUUCCUGGUCGCCAAGGCCGAGCAGGAGAGGCGCGCUGCCAUCGUGCGUGCUGAGGGAGAAAGCGAGUCUGCACGGCUCAUUUCUGAGGCCACCGCCAUCGCUGGGACAGGGCUGAUCGAGCUGAGGAGGAUCGAGGCUGCCAAGGAGAUCGCCGCGGAGCUGGCCUGCUCACCCAACGUUGCCUACAUCCCCUCUGGUGACAACGGCAAGAUGCUGCUCGGCCUCAACGCUGCUGGAUUCGGCGGCCGGUGA